CCUACGGGUGGCUGCAGUGGGGAAUAUUGGACAAUGGGCGAAAGCCUGACCCAGCCAUGCCGCGUGUGUGAAGAAGGCCUUCGGGUUGUAAAGCACUUUCAGUGGGGAAGAAAGCCUUGGGGCUAAUACCCUCGAGGAAGGACAUCACCCACAGAAGAAGCACCGGCUAACUCCGUGCCAGCAGCCGCGGUAAUACGGAGGGUGCGUGCGUUAAUCGGAAUUACUGGGCGUAAAGCGCGCGUAGGCGGUCUGAUAAGCCGGUUGUGAAAGCCCCGGGCUCAACCUGGGAACGGCAUCCGGAACUGUCAGGCUAGAGUGCAGGAGAGGAAGGUAGAAUUCCCGGUGUAGCGGUGAAAUGCGUAGAGAUCGGGAGGAAUACCAGUGGCGAAGGCGGCCUUCUGGACUGACACUGACGCUGAGGUGCGAAAGCGUGGGUAGCAAACAGGAUUAGAUACCCCGGUAGUC
rnacentral:rRNA from 1 species